ACGCUGAUGAGGCUGGGGAGAGUAACACCGGUUGAUUGUGGCGCAGGUGUUGCUGAGCCUGAUUAGUUUUAGAGUUGCACUGGCAGAAGGGGAAAUUGAAAAAGAUAAAUGAAGUUAAGUAAAAGUGUAUUUGCUGCUGGUAAAGCCAUGCAUUUGCCACCGUCCCCUUGAAUGUCAUGGGGUGAAGAAUUAUAAGGGCAGAGAGGAAAAAACUUAGAUAAGCAAGAAGAAAUAGAUUGAUCAACUUCUUCCCAAGCUCGUACCAAUAUGGAAGCUUCACCAAGCAGUCAAAUUUUUCUGUGUGAUCUUUGAGAUGGAGGUCUUACUAUGUUGCCCAGGCUGGUCUUGAACUUCUGGACUCAAGUGAUCUUCCUGCCUCAGUCUCCCAAACUACUGGAACUACAGUAUGUACUAAAAACAGGGCUGUGAGUUUCAAGAGGGCAGAGGCAUGUCUGUUCACUUCUUUGUGACUAGGACCUAGCUCAGUGCCUGAACCACGGUAGAUUCUCACCACCUGUUUGAUUCUGAUGAAUUCACUGAGAACACCGACUCAUUGGCACAGGCAGCACCUCCUUAAGAGUUUUCUUUUAAACCACCUUAGCAUUUAUGUGCUCCAACCUCAAAGCAACACCUGUCAAGUUUCUCUCCUCUGGCUAGUUCUCAGCCAAGUUGUCACCCACUUGGAAGAGAGUGAAACUAAAAUAGUUUAUUACCAUCUACUGCGCUACUAAGUACUGGACACUGUGUUAGACAGGAUGUCACUCUGUCACCUAGACUGGAAUUCAGUGGUGCGGUCAUAGCUCACAGCAGCCUCAACCUCCUGGGCUCAAGCAAUCCUCCAGCCUCCAUCUCCUGAGUAGCUGGAACUACAGAAUGUCCUGUGUGCUUUUGGUAUCAUCAUUAUGCUGGACUCACAUGAGAGAUGGAAAAGAUGGGGAAACUGAGUGCUAGAAAUCCAAGGUUCAUAAAGUUGGAUUCCCCAAAUGAUAAACACAUAAGAGACCCUAAAAGCGUGUUGACUGUUCUACCAUGUGAGGACAUGGCAAGAAGGCACUAGAAAGUGGACCCUCACCAGACACUGAAUCUGCCGAAAACUUGAUCAUGGACUUUGCAGCCCCCGGAACUGUGGGCAAUAUAUUUCCAUUGUUUAUAAGUCACCCAGUUUAUGGUAUUUUGUUAUAGCAGCCUGAAUAGACUAAGACAGUACAUGAAUGCGUACCAACCAGCUUAAGAAAAAUAAUAUAGGACUUUUACGGGAGACCUUGUGGCAUUUUACAUAUCUUGAUGGACACAUGAGGGAAGAAAGACUAGCCUCUUGUAAAUGACAUUUAAAUAAUCAGUGACCCUUCUCUUUAUUAAAUAUGGCUGAAUCCCUUUCUUAGAAUAUGACACAUCAUAUCAACAAUACUUGAUAAACUAGAGACUUAAUGAAUAAUUGAAAAACAAAUAUAUUUUCCUUUCUAUAGGCUUUCAAGGUUGGAUAUGAAAAAGAAAAAUUAAUGAAAAUAAUGACAUUCCCAAAUAGAAUUUACAGAAUUCACAAACUAUCAAUAACCUUUAUUAAAUAAUCAAAUACAAACCUUAGUUAUUUCAUUUUGGAUAUGGUAGAACAGUCAAUCCAAAUGUGAUCAGCUCAUCAUAUAUCAAAUAUAUGUUACAUGAAAUGUAAUCAAGAACUCUGAAAUUUUACUUAAUUCUAUUUCUAGAAAUAUCUAAUUAAUUAAUGUUUUAGAGACACCGUCUCACUCUCUCACCCAGGCUGGAGUGCCAUGGUGCCAACGUAGCUCACUGCAGCCUUGAACUCCUGGGCUCAAGCAAAACUCCCACCUCAGACCCCUCAGUAUCUGGGAUUACAGGUGUCUUAAUUGUCAACAUGAUAGUAUUAAGCAGUGGGGCCACUGGAGGGUGAUUAAGUUAUGAGAGCACAGCCUUCAUGAUUGGGAUUAGUCAACUUAUAAAAGAGAUGCAAGAGAGCUGUUUACCCCUUCUCCCGCGUGAGAACACAGUAAGAGUCACCAUCUAUGAAGCAUAGUGUGAGCCUUCACCAGACAGCUAAUCUACUCAUAAUUUGACAGUGAACUUCCCAGACUCCAAAACUGUGAGAAAUAAAUUUCUAUAAUUUAUAAAUUACCCAGUCUAAAGUAUUUUGUUAUAUCAGCCUGGAUGGACUAAGAUUAUAUUUAUAUGUAUAUACAGUGUAUACAUGUGUAUAUAUAAACAUAUGUACAUACAAUGCAUACAUGUAUAUAUAUAAAUGCUCAUGCACAUAUAUAUGGAAAUAAUAUUCUUUAUAUAUGUCUAGGAAAAUCUCUUGGAGAACUGAAAAAUAAGCACACAUACACAUACACACCAUGCUUAUGGACAGUAGAAUGUUUUAAGAAAGAGCUAUGAUGUCUAGUUUGAAAGCAAAUGAGAAGAUCCUAUUCUUAUUUAGGAGAUAUAAAAAUAACUAAAUAGAUAAAAAUGACUGAAUUAGGAAAAAGACUGAAUGCCAUGGGCUGAUUGUUAAGAGACAUGCUUGAAUGUUUGGAAUCUCCACAAACUUAUGUUUAUUUAAUGUAAGCAGUUAGCCUUCUGAUUCUCAUAUUCCACAUAUCCACAAAUAAGACUCAAAACUUUAUUCUGUAUUUUCAAAACACAAAACAAAUGUAAAUGGAAUUUAAAAGCCAAAGAUGCUACAAAGAUUUUGACUACAUGAUGACAUCAAAAAGACAAUGAAGUUGAUGUUGAAUAAGACAAAGGACAAAAUGUGAUGUAACAGAUAUCAUCAAUACUCUACCAAGCUCUCCUUGGAUCCUUCAUGCAGGCCCUGCGUGCUCUGCUCUGUCUUCUGUGUGAUUCGUUUCUAACAGUGAGCACCUGUGACUAACUUUGAGGAUGACUGUUGCAUUAUCACAGCACUUGCUUGGAAGGUGCAGUUACUCAAAAGUAUUAGACAGUCUUUAUCUGCCUGUGAUUGUUCUUAGCCAAUGACUCUCUAUUAUAGGAGUUUCAAUGCCUAGCUCCUUGGCCACAAGUACACAAAUUCCGAUAAUAAGCUACACAAGAGCUUUCCCCAGGGGCUUCCCUCAAGCAUUCUUCCUUGAAAUCGCUCAAUUGCUUUGCAUCCUCUUCUGCUCUGUCCUAAUCUCCUAUUACCUUACUAGAUUGUUCUGGAAAGUCAUGCGGACAUAGUUAUCUCAGGGUCUUCUUUUGGGAAACUCAAAAUAAGACAGAUGAUGAGUCCUCCUAUUAUAUAUCACUUUACGGUUUUCUUUAUUAUAUUACUUUAUCUUCAAUUCAUCUUGUGAGGUGUUUAUUUCAAAAAUGGAAAAGGUGACCCUCUAAAGAUUAAGUAAUUAACCUGAUAUCAUACAAUAAUUCAAGUGCAAAGUCAAAACUUAAACUUGAACCUUUCUCAGAAUGUUAGAAUAUAUAUAUAUUUUCAGUGACAUCUAUCCAAGUGUAUAUUAUUACAGAACACUUUAGUUUGCAAGAUAGUUCCCCUUGUUUGAUUGGAAAAUCUGGGCUUAAUAUCAAAUACCAUGGAGAUAUAAGAAAAAAACAACAAUUUUAGGGAAAGAUAAGUUUAUUUUACUUGCCUAUAAUAUCUGAAGAUGUAAGAUCUUAUGAAAUAAAAUUUUUAACAAAUUGUCUUAUUUGUUACUAAUAGUAAGUGUCAAGUUGAAUGACCCUUAAAUAAAAGAAAAACAUGGAUAAAUUACAUUUCUCCAAGAGACAAUAAAAACAUCCUUUUUAAGUAUCUAUCACUCUAUCCAAUCUAAUGGACACUUAAAAUAUCACCGCUAGUGAUUGCAUUUGAAAGAAAAUUGCUUGAACAUUUUAAUCUUUUAUAAGUUUGUAAGUAAUAAACUGAAAAUCUAAAGACAUUGGUUAAAUAAAUGGACUACUUGGUUACAAAAACAAACGUUAACAUUGACUUUUUUUCUUAAUUUCUGAAUAUUGAUGUAAACUGACUGCCUACCAUUAAAAAAACUAACCAUUUGUGCUUACCUAGCUGUUUUCUGGAAGUAUAAGUGAGAGGCAGAGGAUCUUAGUUUUUGAUCAUUUUCUGUUUUGCUAAGAACUCUUGAAUUCUACAGAAUAUCUAGAGUAAAAGGAAUAUGGUCCCUGUGCCAAUUGUUUAAACUCUGCAGUAAUCAGGAAUACACAACCUUUUAAAAAAAUGUGCCGGCUGCGGUGGCUCAUGCCUGUAAUCCUAGCACUUUAGGAGGCGGAGGCAGGAGGAUAACCUGAGGUCAGGAGUUCGAGACCAGUUUGGCCAACACGGUGAAACCCUGUCUUUACUAAAAAUACAAAAAAAUUAGCUGUGCGUGGUGGCAGGUGCCUGUAAUCCCAGUACUUGGGAGGCUGAGGCAGGAAAAUCACUUGAACUCGGGAUGCAGAGGUUUCAGCGAGCCAAGAUCACACCAUUGCAAUCCAGCCUGGGCAACAAAAGGAAAACUCUGUCUAAAAAAAAAAAAAAUGCGUUGAUGAUUCUACCUUUAGUCAAGAUAGAGUAACUGCUACUGGACUGAGUCUGAGUCUCUUAAAGCAAAAAUAGAGAACUGGACAAAAUGUAUGAAAUAAGUGUCUUCAGACAUUGAACAGAAUUCUGAUCUCUGAGAAAAAGAGAAGCUCAAGUGAGUUAAAUGAUUGCUCCAGUUUUCUACCAAAAGUCAUUUCCCCAGCUGUAGCAUAAAAGAGGCACAGUUUAGUAGUCUUAUUGAGAUGACACAAAGGAAUGAAUUUGGAGAGGCUAAAGUGGUUGACAUACGUAGGGCAAAUUAUCAAAGUGAAGAGUACUCAAGAACUUACAUAGAGUCUCCCUCAGUCUAUUAUUGCUAAAUAUCAGUCUCUAAAUGUGCAGGAUUAGAAUGUAGGAGACUAGGCAAGGAACAAUCAUUGGUGAUAGAACAACUACUUAUGCGUCGAACAACUCCCAGAGUUCACAAACAUUUCGGAAGCACCCAAGUUCUGAUUACACAAAAAGGAAGAACCAUUGUGAAUACCUGGAGCAUUCUUUAAAGAACCCAGAAAGCCCAAAACCUUAGAGUAGAAAUAAACUACCCUGAAGUAAAGUUGUUUGGUGGGAAAAUAUUGGCUUAAUAUCAAACACCAUAGAUAUAUAAGAUGAAAACAAUUUUAGAGAAAUAUAAGUUUAUUUUACUUGUCUAUGAUAUUUGGAGACAUAAGACCCCGUGAAACACGUAGACAUGCUAGCAAAACUUAAAACCAGUAAAUUACCUGCUUUCUUAAAAAAUCCACAUUGGUUAAAGAAAUACAACAAUAUCCAGCACGAAUCGGUCAGUAGCAACAAAGCAAGAAAUAUUAGAGAUGAUAAGAUUAGUAGAUGAGGCCUUAAAGCACACAUUAUAAAUAUGUGCAAGGACUUAAAGGAAACAUAAAUACAAUGAAAAGUAAAAACAAAAAAAUUUAAAGACCAAGGGGGAAAUAUCUAAAGUUGAUAAAUAUAUGUAAAAUGAAAAAAUCACAAGGUAAGCUUAAAAAAAUUGGAUAUUAUAGGAAAAAAUUAAAGAUAUUUCAGUUGAAACCAAAUAAAAUGCAAAGAGAAAAAUGACUGAAAUAAAUUAACAGACCCUCAGUAAACUCUGGGGCAACAUCGAGAAUUGUAACAAAAGUGUAAUUGGAGUACCAGAAGGAAAUGGAAGAAAAUGGAAAAGAAGCAUUCAAAAUGGCUUAAAAUUUCUAAAAAUAUAUGAAGCCAUGUAUCCAUGUAGACCAACAGAUCUGAAGGAGAAGAAACACAAAUAAAAUCAUAACAAUGGAUAAAAUGAUUAAGUUGCUGAGUGCUAAUUAUAUAUAUAUAUAUAAAACUUAAAUAGUCAAGAUAGAAAGCUGAAGCUUUAUGGGCUUAAAGUAUCAGAGGACACAGUUUGAGAUAACCUGGAUUCUCUAGAAGCAUGGGAACCACAGAGAGGGGGAGCAACUCUGAAUAGGUAUUUUAAAAAUCAAAUUCUUGGCCAAUCGUCAAAUAAUUCAGGUCCACGUGAGGAUCUUAGAGAUCUGCAGGAAAAUAAGGAGGAGUUGGAAGCUACAUGAACAGAACAGAGACAUCAUCAAGUGCAAUAAUGGGGGAGACAAAAUUUGCAGUUUAAGUUUUGUAACAUUAUCUCUAUUAAAACAAAAGCAACCAGAAUCUUCAGAAGAAGCUAACAGAAUUCAGAGGCACUAUGAUUUAUUUUAUAUAAUGUCCAGUUUAAUUUUCAACCCAAAGUAUUAGACACAAAAAGCUUCUGAACAGUGUGACACAUUUCCAGGAAAAAAAAGAAUUCAGUCAAUAAAAAAAAAUGAGUGUCAUUGAGAUCAGAGAUCAGAUUGAAGCAACAAAUAACUACAAAAAUUACUAAAAAUAUGUGAAGAAAAAUACGGUUUUGUAUC